AGUGAACGCUGGCGGUAGGCCUAACACAUGCAAGUCGAACGGCAGCACAGUAAGAGCUUGCUCUUACGGGUGGCGAGUGGCGGACGGGUGCGGAAUACAUCGGAAUCUACUUUUUCGUGGGGGAUAACGUAGGGAAACUUACGCUAAUACCGCAUACGACCUACGGGUGAAAGCAGGGGAUCUUAGGACCUUGCGCGAUUGAAUGAGCCGAUGUCGGAUUAGCUAGUUGGCGGGGUAAAGGCCCACCAAGGCGACGAUCCGUAGCUGGUCUGAGAGGAUGAUCAGCCACACUGGAACUGAGACACGGUCCAGACUCCUACGGGAGGCAGCAGUGGGGAAUAUUGGACAAUGGGCGCAAGCCUGAUCCAGCCAUACCGCGUGGGUGAAGAAGGCCUUCGGGUUGUAAAGCCCUUUUGUUGGGAAAGAAAAGCAGCAGGUUAAUACCCCGCUGUUCUGACGGUACCCAAAGAAUAAGCACCGGCUAACUUCGUG
rnacentral:rRNA from 1 species